UUUCUCACAAUCUCCUUCACUCAUUCUCUCUCUUUCCUUUUCGACCUUCACGCCACUCUCUCUCCUCAUUUCACGCCUAUCUUCUCUCUCCUCAUUUCGCCCUAUCUUCUCUCUCUCCUCUCAUCUUCGCGCCUCAGCUUCUCUCUUCCUCCUCUCAUCUUCUCUGAACUUAUUUGAGAUUGGCCAUUGAUCCCCCAAUGCCUACAUACGCCUACACUCCUCUAACACGCACCGUUGAUCCCCCAACGCAACAAACCCUGCAUGUAACUCCUCCGGUGAGAUCUUCCCAUCUUUAUUAACAUCAAAGAAACCAAACGCGUCCUUAAGAUCAUCUUCAUCUGCAUCCGUAGGAUCAAGUGCAGAUCCAACGGCUUCCAGCUCCUCUAAGCUGAUACAACGGAUUCAUCGGCAUCCCAGUCGUUCUGCUUCGUUGGCAUACCACUCUUUCUUCUUCGUCGACAUACUUCUGUUAACCUUCGAACGCCAAGCGAACAAAGACCGGCAUCCAGAUCUACUCUCUCUCUCCCUUCUCUUCAUCUCCUCCCCUCAUCUCCUCCUCGUUUCCGCCCCUUUUCACCGGCGUUCGUCUCAUCUCGAGCCAGUCGUUCGUCUCGAGUUCUUUCUCCACCGGCGCCAUCGUGUUGGCCGUCGUUCGUGUUGGCGGUCCACGCCAUCUUCCACACCAACAUUUCAUAAGUUAGGGUUUCAAGAUCUAAUGUCAUUUUCUCAUUUUUUUUUAAAUUUUUUUUAUUAAUUCUAUGUAUAUCUCUAAUGUAUUUCUGUCAAAAACAUCUAUUCUCUUUCAUAUAUCAGUUUUUUUUUUGUUAUAAUCUAGAUAUCUUAAGCUUUGAAUCUGUCAAAAAAAGAGUUUGAGUAUUUACGAACAUAUAUUUCGAGGGCGCUAAUAUGAGCUGAGUUCAUAAUCUGAUGAGCCAGAUGCAAAGACACAGUUGCUUACAGUUCAGUUUGAGUGGAAUGAAGUCCUUAAAUCACUCUCAAGCAUGUUCAUAGGAGUGAGUCCGGAGUUCGAAAUCGCUCUUUAUACUCUCUGCUUCUUUGCAGGUGAACAGGAAAAUCAUAUAGAGGUUGGUCCAUACCCAGUUAAUAUCAAGUGCUAUCGUCUAGGAGACAAAAUUGGUUCUGUAUUUCCUAUAGCUGAGGCCUGACUAAGGCUUACUGGCAAAAUCUUGUACCUUGAAAAAUGAAGAUGCUAUUGUGUUGUGGAAUUUCUAGUUAAUUCGUAUUUUAAACUCAAUAUUUUUUUCUGAUAAAACCAAUUAUGACAAUAUUGUCACAGACUCGGUCAUUUGAAGGGAGGGAUGGAUUUUCCUUUCAAUUAUUUUGUGCACAAUCUUUAUGACAUGUCUCUGACGGUUCAUAUUUAUGAUUAUGUAUGAAUCAAAAUUAUAAUAA